rnacentral:rRNA from 1 species
GUAGGUGGCAAGCGUUGUCCGGAAUUAUGGGCGUAAAGCGCGCGCAGGUGGGUUCUUUAAGUCUGAUGUGAAAGACCCCCGGGCUCAACCGGGGAGGGUCAUUGGAAACUGGGGAACUUGAGUGCAGGAGAGGAAAGUGGAAUUCCACGUGUAGCGGUGAAAUGCGUAGAUAUGUGGAGGAACACCAGUGGCGAAGGCGACUUUCUGGCCUGUAACUGACACUGAGGCGCGAAAGCGUGGGGAGCAAACAGGAUUAGAUACCCUGGUAGUCCACGCCGUAAACGAUGAGUGCUAAGUGUUGGGGGGGUUUCCGCCCCUCAGUGCUGCAGCUAACGCAUUAAGCACUCCGCCUGGGGAGUACGGUCGCAAGACUG